GGAGCCUCAACAGUUUUUUUUUUUCCUACUAGGGGUUGAAAUUGGCAUGAGGGCACACUGGCAAGAUUGGGCACUGUGCCCACCAGCUACUUGGCAAGUCUACCUCCCUAUGGUGUGCUGACUAAAUAGGGCCCUUUGUCCCACGAGGAGGAGAGCUGUUAACCCCAUGGGAGCGUUUGGCUUCCCUAAUAAGGCCUUUUCUCCCUCCCCCUACUAUCCAGCAUGUACAAUAGACCAACUGUAUUACUCGACUACAAUUAGAAGUAGAAUUUCAGAGUUGGCAGAUAUCCAAAAUACCACCUGGUACAACUGUCUCAUUUUACAGGUGAGGAAACUGAAGCCCAGAGAGGGUAAGUAAUUUGUCUGAGAACAUACUGCAACUUAGCAGGG
rnacentral:lncRNA from 1 species